UACGGAGGGUGCGAGCGUUGUCCGGAAUAUUGGGCGUAAAGAGCUUGUAGGCGGUUUGUCGCGUCUGCUGUGAAAAUCCGGGGCUCAACCCCGGACUUGCAGUGGGUACGGGCAGACUAGAGUGUGGUAGGGGAGACUGGAAUUCCUGGUGUAGCGGUGAAAUGCGCAGAUAUCAGGAGGAACACCGAUGGCGAAGGCAGGUCACUGGGCCGCAACUGACGCUGAGGAGCGAAAGCAUGGGGAGCGAACAGG
rnacentral:rRNA from 1 species